AGUGAACGCUGGCGGCAGGCCUAACACAUGCAAGUCGAGCGGCAGCGGGUUCCCGCGAGGGGAUGCCGGCGAGCGGCGGACGGGUGAGGAACACAUCGGAAUCUGCCUGGUUGUGGGGGAUAACGUAGGGAAACUUACGCUAAUACCGCAUGAGACCCUGAGUCGACGGACUGGGGGUGAAAGUGAGGGACCUUCGGGCCUCACGCGACCAGAUGAGCCGAUGUCGGAUAGCUAGUUGGCGGGGUAACGGCCCGCCAAGGCGACGAUCCGUAGCUGGUCUGAGAGGAUGAUCAGCCACACUGGGACUGAGACACGGCCCAGACUCCUACGGGAGGCAGCAGUGGGGAAUCUUGGACAAUGGGCGCAAGCCUGAUCCAGCCAU
rnacentral:rRNA from 1 species